UUACGGCCAUAUCACGUUGAAACACCAGUUCUCGUAUGAUCACCGAAGUUAAGACAACAUCAAGCCUGUCCAGUAUUUAGAUGAGUGACCCGUUGGGAAUAUCAAGUGUUGGAAG